UUCUCUCGUCUGACAGUACUGGUGCUAUCAGCAUUGCGCGUGACCCGGUGCGACAUGAGCUCAGCAAGCACAUUGGUGUGGAUGCUUUCUUUUCGCGCGCGGCUGUGCAGGAUGAGGUUAUCGCUCUUCAGUAUGUGCCUUCGGAGUUACAGCUGGCGGAUUUCUUCACGAAGCCACAGACUAGAGCACAACAUGGGUUUUUUCUCUCCAAACUCAGUGUUGUUGACCCACCAUGAGUUUGAGGGGGGGUGUUAGAUAUGUAUAGACCCCUUUUCCCUUUUCCUGUAUAUCCCCAGUGUAUAAGGGGUUUCCUGCACACUACACACUUGUAUAUGUACUGGCCUUUGGCCCCCAGAGAAGUUAGUUGCUCAUUUCUCUAUCAAUAUACAGUUUCCUCACAGUAAGAUCAUAUAAUUUCGUUUUCCAUAUGGUCAACUUUGUCAACUUUCUUCAUGUUAGAAAAUUUAGCGUUCAAACUUUAGGCGUGUUCAUAAUACAACUUCUAGGAAUCUAUAUCUGACCAAGUAAGCAUUUCAGGUAAGUCGUGCUUGAACCUUUCAUAUAUCCACUUAUCUGCUACAAGCUCAAGUGUUCACUACAUGAGUGUCAUUUGGCACGCCUUUAGCACUUUACUUAUUUCACUAACUACACAGGGUUUGCAGAGAGGCUCCUGGGAGUAAGAUUUGCUUUUGAUGGUGAUCGACCGCACGUUGCUGUCCAAUUGUUAACAAUUUACUUGGUCCCCUUAACUAACACACAGACAAAAGGUUUAGGACCACGUUUAACUCUCAGGACCCUGCUCCGGUGUUCCAUGGCACUGAUGGUGUGCAUCAUAUAAACAUGUAUUGGCGCCGGUUAGCUGCACUAUGUAAUCGAAUAUAAAUACGAACGCUGCUUCUAUCUCUUCUA